rnacentral:tRNA from 1 species
CGGGGUUUAGCGCAGUUUGGUAGCGCACCUGGUUUGGGACCAGGGGGCCGCAGGUUCAAAUCCUGCAACCCCGACCA